rnacentral:rRNA from 2 species
CAUCAUUCAGUUGGGCACUCUAGAGGGACUGCCGGUGAUAAGCCGGAGGAAGGUGGGGAUGACGUCAAGUCCUCAUGGCCCUUACGGGUAGGGCUACACACGUGCUACAAUGGCGGUGACAGUGGGCAGCGACAACGCGAGUUGAUGCUAAUCCCAAAAAGCCGUCUCAGUUCAGAUUGCAGCCUGCAACUCGGCUGCAUGAAGUUGGAAUCGCUAGUAAUCGUAGAACAGCAUGCUACGGUGAAUACGUUCCCGGGCCUUGUACACACCGCCCGUCACACCAUGGGAGUUGGCUUUACCCGAAGAUGGUGCGCUAACCCGCAAGGGAGGCAGCCAGCCACGGUAGGGUCAGCGACUGGGGUGAAGUCGUAACAAGGUAACCGU